rnacentral:rRNA from 1 species
GACGAACGCUGGCGGCGUGCUUAACACAUGCAAGUCGAACGGUGAAGCGCCUUCCUUUUUGGUGGGUGUGGAUGAGUGGCGAACGGGUGAGUAACACGUGAGUAACCUGCCCCCUUCUUCUGGAUAACCGCAUGAAAGUGUGGCUAAUACGGGAUAUUCUGGGUCUGUCGCAUGAUGGGUCUGGGAAAGAUAUUGUUUCGGUGGGGGAUGGGCUCGCGGCCUAUCAGCUUGUUGGUGGGGUGAUGGCCUACCAAGGCGGUGACGGGUAGCCGGCCUGAGAGGGUGGACGGGCACACUGGGACUGAGACACGGCCCAGACUCCUACGGGAGGCAGCAGUGGGGAAUAUUGCACAAUGGGCGCAAGCCUGAUGCAGCGACGCCGCGUGAGGGAUGGAGGCCUUCGGGUUGUGAACCUCUUUCGCCAGUGAAGCAGGCCUGCCUCGUUUGUGGGUGGGUUGACGGUAGCUGGAGAGGAAGCGCCGGCUAACUACGUG